UACGUAGGGGGCAAGCGUUGUCCGGAAUCAUUGGGCGUAAAGAGCGUGUAGGCGGCUUGGUAAGUCCGCUGUGAAAGUCCAGGGCUCAACCCUGGAAUGCCGGUGGAAACUGUCAAGCUUGAGUCCGGAAGAGGCGAGUGGAAUUCCUGGUGUAACGGUGAAAUGCGUAGAUAAUCAGGAGGAAUACCGAUGGCGAAGGCAGGUCUCUGGGCUGACACUGACGCUCAUGCACGAAAGCGUGGGGAGCAAACAGG
rnacentral:rRNA from 1 species